AAAAAUAAUGCCAAAGGAUUUGUGAGAGUAGAUCCAAGCUCGGCAAAAAAUGUUCCAGAAAGUGCAGCGAUUAUCGUAACAUAUUAUGACAAAGUACUCUUUGAAGAAAGUGAAGGGGAUGAGAAAUCGGAUGUAACUUUCCAACCAGAAGCCGAAAAAGUCUUGGCAGUACCAUAUGAACUAGCAAGUGGCCUUAUCUCA